rnacentral:lncRNA from 1 species
CCAUACAAAAUUUUUAAAAUAUAAAAAAUACAUCAAAUUCUGCAGUAUCUAGAAGAAGAAGAAGAUCAAAAAGGUAAAAUGGUUUAAAUUCUGAUAGAAUGAAUAAGGAAGUGUCUUUCACCUCCAAAUCAACUCCAUGAAAUAUUACUUCCUGAAUUAAAAGGAAGAUGGAUUUCUAGUUCAUCUAGCGGCUGGUUGCUAACAAUUCCAUUUGAUUUUCAAACCCCUUCACUAGAGCCCGAGUUGAGUUACCUCCACCACCAACAUGAGAGCGAUAACAUCAACCAGCGCUUUUGGAUCCCAUCUGCGUAGUUCUUGCCACACAAUUUGGCCUUUUGCAGGCCAGGAGGCAAGACAUGGACGAACGUACAGUUUCAUCAAGUUUCAGGUCAUCGUAGUGAGACUAUUUUAUAAGGGUGAAUUCUAUUUAUGCUGUUGAUGUUCAUGGGUUGUUUUUUCGUAUAGAUGCUGACCUUCUGCCGGAAUCAGUGCACUGCCUAUCGAAUCACCGGCUUUAGCCCAAAGCGGAUACCUCUUAGAGUUGAAUGGUGGUCUGCUACAAAUCUCAAGGCGUACCGUCUCUCUUACAAAACAUUUUUCCAAAAGAUGACAUGAUUGCAGAACUUGGCGCAUUUAAGUCUUCAGAUUGGAUUGGCGUAAGAAAGACUGGAUCAAGGUUAAAAGCAUCAGCAAUAAUGGAAUAUUGUUGGGGAAGCAGAGUUCAAAAGCGGUGGCUGUCGAUCACAAUACUGGAAACUUGAAGACAAAUUGCAUAUAUUUUAUCGAUGACUCAAAAGUUACAUUCAAGAGUACGCUUCCGGGUAUAGGUCGUGUCCAUGACAUCGAAAUGGAGCAGAUGCUUUAAGGUUAGAGGAGGCCACGAUACCUACUAGGGGUGUUCGCGGAUUGAAUUUUACGGAUUUGACAUCAAUCCAUAUCCGAUUCAUGAUUUUGCGGAUUAUAAUUUUUUAAUCCAAUCCAAUCCACGGAUUGAUAAAAUUCAAUCCAAAUCCAAUCUAUACAUCUGCGGAUUGGAUCUGGAUUUUACUCAAUCCAUAUCUAAUCCAUACGUCUGCGGAUCGGAUGCGGAUUUGACUCAAUCCAUAUGCAAUCCACCAUUUUGUGCAUUAGUUUUCGAAUUAAAAUUUUUUAGUUCUCU